rnacentral:rRNA from 1 species
UACGUAGGGAGCAAGCGUUGUCCGGAUUUACUGGGUGUAAAGGGUGCGUAGGCGGCUCUUUAAGUCGGGCGUGAAAGCUGUGGGCUUAACCCACAAAUUGCGUUCGAAACUGGAGAGCUUGAGUGAAGUAGAGGUAGGCGGAAUUCCCGGUGUAGCGGUGAAAUGCGUAGAGAUCGGGAGGAACACCAGUGGCGAAGGCGGCCUACUGGGCUUUAACUGACGCUGAGGCACGAAAGCAUGGGUAGCAAACAGGAUUAGAUACCCUGGUAGUCCAUGCCGUAAACGAUGAUUACUAGGUGUGGGGGGUCUGACCCCUUCCGUGCCGGAGUUAACACAAUAAGUAAUCCACCUGGGGAGUACGGCCGCAAGGUUGAA